rnacentral:misc_RNA from 1 species
GCAAACUUGGUCAUUUAGAGGAAGUAAAAGUCGUAACAAGGUCUCCGUUGGUGAACCAGCGGAGGGAUCAUUACUAGAAGAGCUUCAAACCUCUCUAAACCCACUGUGAAUCUACCUGUUCGUUGCUUCGGCGGGCUACCCCAGGGCGGGGUUGAGGCCUGCGAAGGCGCCCGCCGAAGUCGACACCACCAACUCUUGGCAACAACUGUCAUCUGAGAUUAAAGACUAAAUAAGUCAAAACUUUCAACAACGGAUCUCUUGGUUUGGGCAUCGAUGAAGAACGCAGC